GCAGGUCAGAGGACUGCACUGUGGAACCAACCGUACUAAAGAACGAAAGGAUGAAUGCCAAGUAGUUUUGGUGCCAAACAGGGGCUUGGAAACCCGAUGUGAAAAUUCAUCCCAUCAGCCAGCGUGUGGUUUCGCCCCGGCAGUUUCCUGCUCGCGCACGGAAAGGAGACAGUGGAGGCAGAGUCCAUCUGGGAGCGGGGUUUGUAGUGUUUCAUUGAGGAAUUAGAGAACUGCACACGUCACAGGCGUCAACAGAUCACAACCCCGGCCCCAGAUCACCCACCGAACAGGAUGUCUGAUCCUGGAAGCCCGCUGUUCCCUUCCAGCCACUCUCCAUCCCCAAGGUGAGGAUCUCACACUGAAGACGCUGCCGGAAGAGGAGCUGAUGUCCGCCCCUCAGCUGAGGAAGCAGCUGGGAACGCAGCGGCCAGAGAGGCAGUGAGCACUGAGGGCCAACGUGUGGCUGCGUCCACAGCCCUGCGCGACCAGUGGCGGAGCAUGUGCCCCGCUCUCGAAGCCCCACGGACCUCACUGCCCUGCAUACCCCUCGCUCAUGACAGCAGAACUAAAGGGACCAGAGACAUCACUUCAUCCCGCCCCAACGAAGGAGAGACAGGUAGAUGGUCACGAGUUCUGGGCACAGGGUCCCACCUUCCUUGGGUUCUAGAACGUUGCGGUCCAGCUCCUAAAGCAGGCUCUCUAUCCUGUGGGGUACAUAUAUGCUCCUGGUUCCAGCCCCUGCUUCCCCUUCUGUCCCUGGAGAGGGUUGGAGGCAGCUGACCCAUACUGAGAUGAAGAGGGAGGAGGGCCUAGGCCAGCAGGACCCCGAGAGCACCCGGUGCCCAGUCGAGGCACCCCUCCCUCCAAUCCCCUUCCCCCAGGCCCUCCUAGAUACAUCCACACACGUGCACCCAGGGCCAUCAUGUUCCCAGUUCUGAGACCAAAAUCAUCAGGCAAGUCAGGUCUUUCAGAUCACCUGAAAUACUAAACAGGAGGGUCCUCAAGAUCUCCUGGGUCAGGCCCUCAUCCACAGAUGAGGAAACGGGAGGCCCACUGGGAGGAUUCCUGGCCCCGGGUGGAUGGAGCCCCUUCCUCUUCCAAACCCAUUUUCUUAUUUUGCCUUCUCCUUAUUCACCCCCCAACACAGGACCCUCCUGGGUACCUGCUCUCU